rnacentral:rRNA from 1 species
GUAGGUGGCAAGCGUUGUCCGGAAUUAUUGGGCGUAAAGCGCGCGCAGGCGGUUCUUUAAGUCUGAUGUGAAAGCCCACGGCUCAACCGUGGAGGGUCAUUGGAAACUGGAGAACUUGAGUACAGAAGAGGAAAGCGGAAUUCCACGUGUAGCGGUGAAAUGCGUAGAGAUGUGGAGGAACACCAGUGGCGAAGGCGGCUUUCUGGUCUGUAACUGACGCUGAGGCGCGAAAGCGUGGGGAGCAAACAGGAUUAGAUACCCUGGUAGUCCGCGCCGUAAACGAUGAGUGCUAAGUGUUAGGGGGGUUUUCCGCCCCCCUUAGUGCUGCAGCUAACGCAUUAAGCACUCCGCCUGGGAUACGGCCGCAAGGCUG